GAUGAACGCUGGCGGCGCGCCUAAUACAUGCAAGUCGAGCGAACAGAUGAGGAGCUUGCUCCUCUGACGUUAGCGGCGGACGGGUGAGUAACACGUGGAUAACCUACCUAUAAGACUGGGAUAACUUCGGGAAACCGGAGCUAAUACCGGAUAAUAUAUUGAACCGCAUGGUUCAAUAGUGAAAGACGGUUUUGCUGUCACUUAUAGAUGGAUCCGCGCCGCAUUAGCUAGUUGGUAAGGUAACGGCUUACCAAGGCGACGAUGCGUAGCCGACCUGAGAGGGUGAUCGGCCACACUGGAACUGAGACACGGUCCAGACUCCUACGGGAGGCAGCAGUAGGGAAUCUUCCGCAAUGGGCGAAAGCCUGACGGAGCAACGCCGCGUGAGUGAUGAAGGUCUUCGGAUCGUAAAACUCUGUUAUUAGGGAAGAACAAAUGUGUAAGUAACUAUGCACGUCUUGACGGUACCUAAUCAGAAAGCCACGGCUAACUACGUG
rnacentral:rRNA from 1 species